UACGUAGGGUGCGAGCGUUGUCCGGAAUUAUUGGGCGUAAAGAGCUCGUAGGCGGUUUGUCGCGUCGGCCGUGAAAACUUGGGGCUUAACCCCAAGCCUGCGGUCGAUACGGGCAGACUUGAGUUCGGCAGGGGAGACUGGAAUUCCUGGUGUAGCGGUGAAAUGCGCAGAUAUCAGGAGGAACACCGGUGGCGAAGGCGGCGACCUGGGUAGAUACUGACGCUGAGGUGCGAAAGCGUGGGGAGCAAACAGG
rnacentral:rRNA from 1 species